GUCAGCAUUCUUGCACUGAGCGCCUGAAGAUUUGAUACAGUAAUUGUGUUCAGGCAAGCAAAUGAUUUAACCUUUUCAGUUUAGUAAGAUGAUUGCAUGCCCAACAUAGGGAGAAUCUUGAAAUGAAAAAUGGGAAAAUUGCAGGUUGGAAAAUAAAUUCUGGCAGCUUUUACAGUUUUCAACAUUUAAAAUGAAAUAUAAUAAUAAGAUCAUCAUAUCCAAAGUAAGUGGAUAAUAACAACUCCAUUAUGUUGCCUAGAAGAUUGGUAUGAAGAACAUAGAUAUGUCAGCAAACAUUCCAAGGAACCACAAACAUCGAAAGAUUCCAUAUUUUAUUUGGUCAUAUGUUUAGCAACUAAAAGAAUUACAUAUUAAAAAAAUUAAUUAUAUUUUAAAUUAGGAUAAAACCCAUGGUCUUAACAUAUU
rnacentral:misc_RNA from 1 species